AUGUGAUGUUUUAAUUUCUCUGUGAAUAACUGCAGUCUAAUGGAACAGCUGGAAUUGUAACAUCUGUCCUGAUAUUGAUCAUGAAGUAUUGAUCAGAAUACUUAUGGUCAGCAGUCAUCCCUGAAGUUUUACAUUAAAAUCUUUACUUGUGUUGUGAACUUUGGUAAGAAGCAGAAACGUUAGCGUUGCCAUGGAUACAUGGGUGUUAAAUUCUGUCCAUGUUUCCUUUUGGGAAAUUCAGUCCAGCAGAUGAGUUUGUUUUUACUGCCAGCUACCAUUCAGUCUGAGAUAUUAAGAAUAAAUAAAUGUGCAUAAUGUGGAAAUGAACAGAUUUUAUUUUUAUUUAUUCCUACAGCGGAUGCAGAGAAAGUUCCAGAAUGUGGAGGAAUUUAGUCUCAUAAUCACAGACAAUAAAUAUUAUCUGAAAGUCGGGUUAUUGUUGUUUAUCAGCACAAUACAAAAAGAUUCAUGUUAGACAUAUUUCAGUUAAGACUCUAGAGUAUCAUGAUUUAUGUAAAUUUACCUCAGUAAUAUGAAUGUUCAGGUUAAGAUUGUGCAGUGAUAUUUAUUAUGUAAGUUUACCUGAUUAAAAUGUAUGACUCUGCACUACAAUAUUAUUUAUUUAAAUUUACAUCAUUAUUAUAAUAUUUAGGGUCAGACCCUACAGUAAUGAGAUUAAGAAAUCAAAUAUUCUAUAAAAUGUAAAUACACUGAACUCAUUUGGAUAUAUUUAAGUGAGACUCUACAAUAUUAUUUGACACAAAUCUAAAUCUAAAUUUUACUAAUUUUUACUCCAAACAUUUACUGGACUGAUUUAAAUACUAAAAUCACUCCUUUCUAAUCCUCUGCUGUACGUUCAAACCUGAGGCCUUAAAUAGAAACACACAAGUAUCUGAUUGAAGGAACUUCUGCAGAGUCCUGGUUCCAGAACAUGAUGAUAGAAUUAUAGACAAACUUUAACAAAAGCUGCCUGAGAGUUUACAGGUUUUUAUGUUAGAUUUCUUCAGUAAUUUAAUGAGAGUUAUCAGCAAAAAUCAAGUGUUCAUUUGAUGAACUUCAUUUCCUAAAACAUCCAGAAUUGGAGCUCAUAUCUUUGGCAGCUGUAAAGUUUCUGCUCCUUCAAAGUUCACAACACAAUGAAUGAAUUCCUAAAACACUCUCAAUGCUGGAGAGCGUUUGAUGCUGAAGCAGUGAUCAGUUUUUCUGUUUCUUCUCUGGAGAUGCACAAUGAGGGACGUCUGCAGAGACUGAGAAAGAAUCUCACCACAUCCUGACAUGAGGAAAAAGACUUUAUUGAAGACUACAAUGAGAAAAACUAUCAGACAGCAGACGGCUGCAUUCAAGUCUGUAGCUGCUGAAUUCAUGGAUGAAUCAUCUGGCACUAGAGAAGAAGACCAUCAAACAUCCACAUCAGCUGAUGGAGGUCCAAGAGUCUCACCAAACAAACAACCUCUGUAGGUUGUUUAAUAUUUUUUUGACAUAGUAUACUAUGGCAUUUUUUUUUGCGCCAAAAUUCAUGAUGA
ensembl:lncRNA